rnacentral:rRNA from 1 species
GCGAAGAACCUUACCUGGGCUCGAACGGCUUACGACGUUUGGUGGAAACACCGGAUUUCCCGCAAGGGACGUGAGUCGAGGUGCUGCAUGGCUGUCGUCAGCUCGUGUCGUGAGAUGUUGAGUUAAGUCCCGCAACGAGCGCAACCCUUGUCCUGUGUUGCCAACCCGCAAGGGAGCACUCUCAGGAGACCGCCAGCGAUAAGUUGGAGGAAGGUGGGGAUGACGUCAAGUCAUCAUGGCCUUUAUGUCCAGGGCUACACACGUGCUACAAUGGCCGGUACAAAGCGCUGCAACCCCGCGAGGGUGAGCAAAUCGCAAAAAACCGGUCUCAGUUCGGAUCGCAGGCUGCAGCUGAAAUGCGUGAAGCUGGAAUCGCUAGUAAUGGUAUAUCAGAACGAUACCGUGAAUACGUUCCCGG